rnacentral:rRNA from 1 species
CCUACGGGAGGCAGCAGUGGGGAAUUUUGCGCAAUGGACGAAAGUCUGACGGAGCAACGCCGCGUGAGUGAUGAAGGCUUUCGGGUCGUAAAACUCUGUUGUUAGGGAAGAACAAGUGCUAGUUGAAUAAGCUGGCACCUUGACGGUACCUAACCAGAAAGCCACGGCUAACUACGUGCCAGCAGCCGCGGUAAUACGUAGGUGGCAAGCGUUAUCCGGAAUUAUUGGGCGUAAAGCGCGCGCAGGUGGUUUCUUAAGUCUGAUGUGAAAGCCCACGGCUCAACCGUGGAGGGUCAUUGGAAACUGGGAGACUUGAGUGCAGAAGAGGAAAGUGGAAUUCCAUGUGUAGCGGUGAAAUGCGUAGAGAUAUGGAGGAACACCAGUGGCGAAGGCGACUUUCUGGUCUGUAACUGACACUGAGGCGCGAAAGCGUGGGGAGCAAACAGGAUUAGAUACCCUGGUAGUCCACGCCGUAAACGAUGAGUGCUAAGUGUUAGAGGGUUUCCGCCCUUUAGUGCUGAAGUUAACGCAUUAAGCACUCCGCCUGGGGAGUACGGCCGCAAGGCUGAAACUCAAAGGAAUU